rnacentral:lncRNA from 1 species
UGCCGUAUUCUCUCAUUCCUAACCAUAACCAAUGAAAAUUAAUAAGAUUUGAAAGUUGUAAUGAUAAUCUCCAUUUUUUUCGGUAAAAAAGGACGAUGGCAAUGGUGGCAGUGGUAAUCUCCCUAAAUUGGUAGUUUUUCGUUGAGGACAACAACAUACUAUUCUAUAAUGGUAAUCUCCAUUUUUUCCGGUGAAAAAAGACGACAUCAAUAGUAGCAAUGGUAAAACACAACGGUAAAGAUAUUUGGCCGGUGGAAUAUCUUAUGCGCGAGUUGGUUGAGGAAGAAGACCUUUUAAAAAAAUUAAAAUGGUCGGAUGGCCUUUUGAGGUUUGGGUGAGGAAGAAGACUUUUAAAAAAAAAAAUUAAAAUGGCC